rnacentral:rRNA from 1 species
GGGGAAUAUUGCGCAAUGGGGGAAACCCUGACGCAGCAACGCCGCGUGAAGGAUGAAGGUUUUCGGAUUGUAAACUUCUUUGAUGGGGGACGAAACAAAUGACGGUACCCCAAAAACAAGCCACGGCUAACUACGUGCCAGCAGCCGCGGUAAUACGUAGGUGGCGAGCGUUGUCCGGAAUUACUGGGUGUAAAGGGCGUGUAGGCGGGAUUGUAAGUCAGAUGUGAAAUUCCAGAGCUUAACUCUGGCGCUGCAUCUGAAACUGCGAUUCUUGAGUGCUGGAGAGGAUAGUGGAAUUCCUAGUGUAGCGGUGAAAUGCGUAGAUAUUAGGAGGAACACCAGUGGCGAAGGCGGCUAUCUGGACAGUAACUGACGCUGAGGCGCGAAAGCGUGGGGAGCAAAC